rnacentral:rRNA from 1 species
AACAGGAUUAGAUACCCUGGUAGUCCACGCCGUAAACGAUGUCGACUUGGAGGUUGUGCCCUUGAGGCGUGGCUUCCGGAGCUAACGCGCUAAGUCGACCGCCUGGGGAGUACGGCCGCAAGGUUAAAACUCAAAUGAAUUGACGGGGGCCCGCACAAGCGGUGGAGCAUGUGGUUUAAUUCGAUGCAACGCGAAGAACCUUACCUACUCUUGACAUCCAGAGAACUUAGCAGAGAUGCUUUGGUGCCUUCGGGAACUCUGAGACAGGUGCUGCAUGGCUGUCGUCAGCUCGUGUUGUGAAAUGUUGGGUUAAGUCCCGCAACGAGCGCAACCCUUAUCCUUUGUUGCCAGCGGUCCGGCCGGGAACUCAAAGGAGACUGCCAGUGAUAAACUGGAGGAAGGUGGGGAUGACGUCAAGUCAUCAUGGCCCUUACGAGUAGGGCUACACACGUGCUACAAUGGCGCAUACAAAGAGAAGCGACCUCGCGAGAGCAAGCGGACCUCAUAAAGUGCGUCGUAGUCCGGAUUGGAGUCUGCAACUCGACUCCAUGAAGUCGGAAUCGCUAGUAAUCGUGGAUCAGAAUGCCACGGUGAAUACGUUCCCGGGCCUUGUACACACCGCCCGUCACACCAUGGGAGUGGGUUGCAAAAGAAGUAGGUAGCUUAACCUUCGGGAGGGCGCUUACCACUUUGUGAUUCAUGACUGGGGUGAAGUCGUAACAAGGUAACC